GGAAUAAUAACUAGAAGUCCAAGAUACUACCGGAGAGAGGCCAUGAAGUUCUAGUCAAUGGCAGGCAAUAUCUGAAUACAUCAAAGGGCUAAUGAGGGAAAAUAUUAUAACUGAGAAUUGCCUUUUUGUUGACAAUGAAAUGGUCGAGGAGAGGCAUUACCCAUGUAUGCAUAAAUGAAUUUCUUUUGAUUAUAGUACCAGUAAUGAAGAUAACUCACAGUCAUUACUUUGUCUAUGCUGUAAUGCAUGUUUGCUGCACUUCUGGUUUGGAAAUAGCAGGGACAAGUGUUACGAAUAGUGUCCACUGCAUUUAAUUGAGUCCCAUCUGCCACCAGUUGGGGGCAUUAGAUAAUUAACUCAAAGGUAUGCAUGCUCAAAAGCUAAUGAUACAAAAAAAAUUACUAAAUAAAUUUGAAGUAAGACGUGGGUAAAACAAGGAGUACCUUGCACAAACAAUGGAAGUAACUAUGUCAUUAUCAGAUCUUCCAAAGCAUUGACAUUGUUAUUUCAGUCCUCCCCAUCAUACACUGGAUCAAUGAAAAGAACAUCAACUACUUGACAUGAAAAAUUACCAUGAAAUGAUAAAAACAAUACUUUAUCCCAGCCACAUUAAGUUACAACCUGACACCAGUUGUCACAAGCACAUCCAAAUUCAAAAGUUUAAAGAAACAUGUUCUUUGGACAGCAUUGUGACUUGCACCAAGCCACCUAAGACCAACACAAACUUAUAUCUUAGUUCUCAGACAACAGGCCAUUUAGGGAUCCAUGGAAGAGUCAGUAAUCCUUAUGCAACUCUGUUGUUUUACAUGCUUUUCCAUAUCCUUGGCUUACUCUCCAGUUUGACAACAAAUUUGCAGCUGGUGCAAGUUUCAUGAGGAAUAUGCAAGCAAGGGCAGAUUGUGCUGACCUGUUCCUACUCAAGGGAACAUUCAUUAAAACAGCAAGGCUUUGGUGUUCAGUUGUUCACCCUAGAAAGCUCCACCCUUUGGCUUCUUGAGAAGAAGUAUUCACAGCAGCUGUGUGGUACCCUGCAGUUCUUGUGCUUUUAGCUCUCAGAAUGAAGGCACUGUCCAUUCCUCUGCUGCUGGUCAUGUUUUCGGCCAGUCUUCGUGCAGGAUUUUGUGAUACAGAUCCUCAAGAUGGUAAUUAUAGUGAACCUGGUUUCUGAAACUCCCUCUUCUUACUUCCUAGUUCUUAGACUAGAUUACUUGCAAAGUUAUAGCUUAAGUAUCUUGAAGGUGACAAGACACACAAAUGCGUUCAAUGAAAAACCUUUUAUAUGCCACACUUAGUGUUCAAGAAACAAUAUUAUUCUCCCCAAAGAAAAAGUUUCAUGUUUUAGCAUGCCUUUAUCUUUAAAGUAUAUAUCCAGUGAAAUAUUGCUAACAUAAGCACCAUAUCAAAUGACUCUCUUCUUUAUUUCUCAAGUUUGUGACCUUUCCAAUUUUAUCUUAUGUAAGAAGUAAACCAAAGGCAGCUAACAAUAAGAGAAAGUGAUGGCAGCAUGGAACCAUGCAAAUGAGCACAUAACUCAAUUCAGUGCAAUAUAACUUCUUGAUUAAUAAUAACACGGAUACAAAUUGUCAGUGGCUGCGCUUCAGUCUCUAAUGAGAGGGUGGCAAAACUUCCCAUCAAGUUGGAAAGCAUCAAAUGAUCCCUGUGGUGCACAAUGGGAUGGGAUUACGUGCAAUAAUGGGCGAGUCACAUCAAUGUGAGUACCAACUAAUAAUGUUUUACUAGUUUAACUUUCACACUUAAUCUAAUCGAAAACGAAAUCGAAAUCCAUGUUUCCAGGAGGCUAUCAAGCAUCAACCUUCAAGGCACAUUAAGCAACAGUAUAGGCCAGCUCAGUGAGCUUGUUUACCUGUGAGUCAUUUCCGCACAAGUAUUUGAAGUUUUAUAGACUAUCAUUAGUAAGACCAUAUUUUCUGGUUUCAAUUGAUAAGACAUAUAAGAGGAUUCUGCUCAGAAUUUGAUUACCUGAGAAAAACACAUCAUCAGCUCAUGAUUACUUUGUUUUCGUGUAUUGGGAAGUAAUUAUAUGUAUCUAUACUAGAAAGCAUUACAGCAAGCUUAAGCUAUAUACAGAAAGAUUUUGGCUUCCCGAUAUGAGAAGCCUGGGUGGCAAAUAUUGGGUGGCUGACAUUGGACUUGAAACUGGAAGUUAGUCUAUUCCAGCCAAGCCUAGUAUUCAAUGCAUAUUAAAGACAUUCAAGAAACUGAUUCCUGCCAUACUUCCACCCUAUGCAUACGUCUAGAGUUUAUGGCAACUUUCCUAAUUCAACAGUAACACGGAUUACAUGUGUGCACUAAAUAGUUACAAAUAAAAAUAUUUCAGUUUAUAGUGUGAACACCUCCAGGUGUCAAGCGACGUGUAGCAUAGAAAAAGGCACUUGCUAAUUUACAUCCACAAGAAAUUGUAUUUCACAUUUUCACUCAUAUGUUAUGGUGCAUGCAGGGACCUCUCCUCCAACAGUGGUCUUAGUGGUCCACUGCCCACUUCGAUUGGCAACCUCAAGCAGCUUACGACACUGUACACCCUUACCCUAAGGGCAAAUUCUUAUAUUUCAUAAUCAGUCAUAUAACACUCCACGAAUCCAUGAAGCUGACCCAAUGCAUUGUGAUAUUCAGAAUCUUGGUUGGCUGCAGCUUCACAGGAGGCAUUCCCCAAGAAUUAGGAAACUUGGUGCAGCUCUCAUUCCUGUAAGAGCUUUAAAAUUGAUAGGAAAUCUUAAUCACAAUUCACAACUCCAUAUUCUUGCCGUCGCUCUGCUGCUUCCUGGGCUAUACUGGUGAAAUGAACUAUCGAUGAAAUACACUCUGCAGGGCCCUGAAUUCAAACAACUUUACAGGCAGAAUUCCUGCUUCAAUUGGCCUACUCACCAACCUCUUCUGGCUAGAUUUGGCAGAAAAUCAGCUUUCUGGUCCCAUUCCAAUUUCAUCAACCACUUCUCCAGGACUUGACCUACUUACGCACACCAAACAUUUGUAAGCUCCUAUAACAUUUGUUCCCAAAAACCAAGAAUGGAUUAUCAGUAUGCGCGCUUUUACUCGCUUUCCUACCACACUGAUACUCUGUUCCAAUCAAUUCACAGCCAUUUCAAUAAAAACCAAUUAACUGGUACUCUCAACGGCCUCUUCAGCCCUAGCAUGGAACUCGAACACAUGUAAGAUGAUGCUGAUUCCUACUGAUAGCAGCUCUAUAGACAUGGUAUAGUAUUGUACUGACCACUUUGUUUACUUUCAUCAGAUUAUUUGACAACAAUCAAUUGUUUGGUUCUAUUCCUGCUGAACUUGGUAGCAUCACCAGCCUCCAGAUUCUGUAAGUAUCUUGGCAUUUCUCUUCUUUCCAACUAUGUUCUCAGCAAUAAUGUUGUUUCCUUUGCAUCUUCAUCAGCCGAUUAGAUAAGAACAGAUUCACAGGAGCAGUUCCGACCAACAUCAGCAACCUUGUCAACCUAAAUGGACUGUAAGUGCUGUGUGAUUUUUGAACUCUCACGGUCAAAUGAGUAAGACAUUUACCAGAGUGAUCAGAUUCUAGAGCAUUUGAUUUAAAUAACUAUCUUGUGCAGGAAUUUUGCAGACAACCAGCUGCGUGGAGCAAUUCCAGAUCUCAGUACCCUGACAAAACUUAGUGCCAUGUAAGUUCUUGCUCUUGCUUUCUUUCUCUACACUGUAUUCUGAUAUAAAACACUGACAAGUCCUGAUGAAUGCUUCUUUUCACGCCCAGCGAUUUAAGCAACAAUCAAUUUGAUCCGUCUGUCCUACCAGCCUGGUUGCCGACACUGACAACACUUACUUCAGUGUGAGUUUAAGACAUGCACUGUUUGAUCAUCUCGUGUAUGUCAGCACUAUAUUUUCUCCUUCAGUGGCCAUGUUACCUUAAAACCCUCAUAUGCAGAGUGAUGGCUUCUGGAAGAUUGUAUGGCCAGGUUCCCAACAGGAUCUUUACCUUGCCCGAACUGCAGCAAGUGUAAUUUUCUGGCAACAUAUAACAAGAUGAAUCUUAAUAAGUAUAUUACUUUCUCAUGUUUCCUUGCUUUUACCACUGAUCAGACAGUAUACUAAGCAAUAAUGACUUCAACGGGACACUUGGCAUGACUGGUAACAUCAGCCAACAACUGCAGAGAGUCAAUCUCCAAAACAAUCGUAUAGUUGCAGCCAAUAUAACACAAAGCUACAACAGAACACUAGUGUGAGUACUUGCAUGCUCCAAAACCAAAGAAGUGUUGCUUCUCUUUUCCAUUUACUCACUAGAAUUGCCUCUUCCUCUAUCGACAGACUUGUGGGGAAUCCUGUGUGCUUGGAUGCCGAAUUCUCCGGUAGCCACUUUUGCAGCAUUCAGCAAGAUAGCAUAAUACCAUAUGUCACUAGUGUAACCAAAUGCGGCUCAACUUCAUGUUCCAGUGAUCAAAGCCUAGACCCUGCGAAUUGUGGCUGUGCCUACCCCUACAUGGGUGCGAUUCUCUUCAGGUCACCGUUGUUUGCAGACUUGACAAACAAUGAGCACUUUCAGCAACUGGAGACUAGCCUCUGGACAGAGCUGGGACUGCGCCCUGGUUCAGUUUUCCUUUCUGAUGUCCUAUUCACUAGUGAUGAUUACCUCCAAGUUAAAGUGAGAAUGUUUCCAUCGACCGGAACAUCCUUCAACCUAUCAGAAGUAACAAGGAUAGGCUUUGAUCUUAGCAAUCAAACUUACAAGCCACCACAAGGUUUUGGACCUUAUUACUUCGUCGCAGAUCCAUAUGUCCACUUUGCAGGUAUUCAAAUAAUCAAAUAUAAUCAUGUAAAACUAUGUCUUUAUGAGUUUAUGUAAGUAUAGUUAUGUAUGAAAUACUUUGGGCUAUCUUGUCUCAGGAGCAGCUGACAGUGGAAAAUCACAAAUAAGUACAGGCGCUGUUGCUGGAAUUGCAGUAGCAUGUGGUCUUGUUCUGACUGCCCUAACUUCUUGGGCAAUAUUUUCUUUAUUACAAAAGAGAAGGACAAAGGAAUUAUCAGGACGAACAAAUCCUUUCGGUGAGGUUCCAAAGAAUAUCAUUGACAACUAUACAGCCCUAAAAGCUGCCGGGUACUUUUUAAGAAGAAAAACAUGACAUUAUUGGGGUGUGUUCACGGUCGUGCCUUUUUAAAAUGCUUUAUUUAAUCGAUAAAUCUAUAGAAACUAGUGAGAAAGGCACCCCAGUAAAAGUAUACAACUAAUAAAUAAGGGGAAAAACUACAGUUCUCUUAUUGAUCAAGAGAAAAAAGGGAAUUUACAUGCAAUAUAUUUGAUAAAAACUGACUGUAACAGUAUACAGUGCCAAUAAUUUGCUACAGCUAUUGCAGACUUCCAGAUCUAUUACAAGUGCAGCUUAUUGCUGCUAGAAUUGUACAACAAAUACAACUUUACUUCAUAUAAAACUUGUGUAUAUUAUCUAGCUGUAAUUAAUCAGGAUUCAAGAUAGUUAACUAUAUGAUAGCCUAAUAGGCUAAUCUAGAGAUAUGGUAGAAAUAUACUACAGAAUUGACAGAGGUUAUGUGUACUAGCGAACGUGCCUCUAGCUGAGUUGGUUAGGUGGCUCUGCACUCCUGGAUUUGACUCCCCGUGGGAGCAAAUUUUAGGAUGGGGUUAAAAAAUCCCCUCAUCUGUCCCACACCAAAGCACAGGUCUAAGGCCCAGCCCAGGUCGUUGGUUGUCUCACACGGGCACCGGUGCCGCUGUGUAAGGGUGGGGUAGAGGUUCGGAGGUUUUCUCGACUUGCAUGAGAAGGUCUUCUCUUCUUAGCAAAAAUGCCUGGGGGCUGUCUUACCCGCAGGUCAAGUUUUUUUUAAGGUUAUGUGUACUAAUUAGGUCAAGAUGUCAAACCAAUCCCCCUCAUUUUCCAUUCCUAUUGUUACGUACCCAACCUUUCAAAGCUUACAAACUGUUAUAGAAAAUUUGUCUAACUACAAAAAUAUAGUGAUCAAACACGUGCAAGCAGUAAUAACCUAGAUAAAAUGUACCAUAGCUUACAGUUUUUGUUUCCUUGGUCUCGACACUUGCUUCUUGUACAAUCUUUUUAUUAUUUUACUUUGAGUAAAAUACACGGGCGGUCCCUGAACUUGUCUUGUGGUGUCAUCCGGGUCACUAAACUCUCAAAAUGCAUUUCCAGAUCCCCAAACUUAUCUCAAGGUGUCAUCUGAGUCCCUAAACUAUCAAAGUGCAUAUUUAGGCCCCCAAACUUGUCCUCGGGUUUCAUCCGGAUCCUUAAACUCUCAAAAUACAUUUUCAAAUCUUAAAACUUGUCACUUAUCACUGAUGGCAAUGCUUCCUUCUUGCUCGUUGUCUUCAAAACCACCUUAUGCUAGUGAUCACGAAUGUGUUGCUUGGCACUUGAUUGGGGAAUCUUAAAAUGCAGUUUGAGAGUUUAAGGACUCGAAUGACACACUGAGACAAGUUAGGGGCCUUGACAAUGUGUUUUGAGAGUUUAGGGACUCGGAUGGCGUCUUGAGACAAGUUUAUGGACCUGAAAACACAUUUUGAGAGUUUAGGGACUUAUAUGACACCCCAUGACAAGUUCAGGGACCGCCUAUAUAUUUUACUCAAUACUUUUAUUAAUGUAUUUACCACACUAGGGGUUUCUCCUACUGUAUUGCCCCUAAAAUGGAACUAUAGCUAGAUAUAACUUUGCUGAUUAUUUACCUCAUGCAUAUUCAAAUUUUAGCUUCAUGGGGAAUUGCUCAAAAAGACAGCGGAGGUGCUCCACAGCUGAAAGGAGCAAGGUUUUUUUCUUUUGAUGAACUAAAGACUUGCACCAACAAUUUUGAAGAAAAUAAUGAAAUCGGAUCAGGAGGUUAUGGAAAGGUAAACAGCUAUACGUAUGGAAAGUAUCACCUAUCAGCAUUCCUUUAAGGGCUUCUGCACAGAUAGCUAUAAUAGUGAUUCACCUCUGCAUGUGAAAGGUUUACAAGGGAAUACUAGCAGAUGGAACAGGUGUGGCAAUAAAACGAGCAGAGUAUGGAUCAAAGCAAGGUUCGUUUGAGUUCAAAAAUGAGAUAGAGCUGCUAUCCAGAGUCCAUCACAAGAACCUGGUAAGUCUGAUAGGAUUUUGCUAUGAACAAGGGGAGCAGAUGCUGGUAUAUGAAUAUGUUUCUAAUGGGACAUUAAGACAGAACUUACAAGGUAUGUACACAGAAUCUAGUUGCAAAUCUAGAAGUGUUAUGUUAUUUCCUUUCCCUUCCAUGUUUUAGUAUAAGAAAUAUACUUGUUAUGCAGCAAGAGGAAUUUACCUGGAUUGGAAGAAAAGGCUCAGGAUUGCUCUAGGAUCAGCC
rnacentral:lncRNA from 1 species